rnacentral:rRNA from 1 species
UACGAAGGGGGCGAGCGUUGUUCGGAAUUACUGGGCGUAAAGGGCGCGUAGGCGGCGCAACAAGUCACUUGUGAAAUCUCCGGGCUUAACCCGGAGCGGCCAAGUGAUACUGUCGUGCUAGAGUGCGGAAGGGGCUACUGGAAUUCUCGGUGUAGCGGUGAAAUGCGUAGAUAUCGAGAGGAACACCUGCGGCGAAGGCGGGUAGCUGGGCCGACACUGACGCUGAGGCGCGAAAGCCAGGGGAGCAAACGGG